UACGAAGGGGGCUAGCGUUGCUCGGAAUCACUGGGCGUAAAGGGCUCGUAGGCGGCCAACUAAGUCGGAUGUGAAAUCCCCAGGCUUAACUUGGGAACUGCAUCCGAUACUGGAUGGCUUGAAUCCGGGAGAGGGAUGCGGAAUUCCAGGUGUAGCGGUGAAAUGCGUAGAUAUCUGGAGGAACACCGGUGGCGAAGGCGGCAUCCUGGACCGGCAUUGACGCUGAUGAGCGAAAGCCAGGGGAGCAAACGGG
rnacentral:rRNA from 1 species